rnacentral:rRNA from 1 species
GGCAGACGGGUGAGUAACAUGUGGGUAUCUGCCCUUUGGCCUGGAAUAACACGAGGAAACUUGUGCUAAUACCGGAUAAGUCUUUACGGAGAAAGCUUUAUGCACCAUUGGAUGAGCCUGCACUUGAUUAGUUUGUUGGUGGGGUAAUGGCCUACCAAGACUUUGAUCAAUAGCUGAUUUGAGAGGAUGAUCAGCCACAUUGGGACUGAGACACGGCCCAAACUCCUACGGGAGGCAGCAGUGGGGAAUCUUGCACAAUGGAGGAAACUCUGAUGCAGCGAUGCCGCGUGAGUGAAGAAGGCCUUUGGGUUGUAAAGCUCUUUCGUCGGGGAAGAAAAUGACUGUACCCGAAUAAGAAGGUCCGGCUAACUUCGUGCCAGCAGCCGCGGUAAUACGAAGGGACCUAGCGUAGUUCGGAAUUACUGGGCUUAAAGAGUUCGUAGGUGGUUGAAAAAGUUGGUGGUGAAAUCCCAGAGCUUAACUCUGGAACUGCCAUCAAAACUUUUCAGCUAGAGUUUGAUAGAGGAAAGCAGAAUUUCUAGUGUAGAGGUGAAAUUCGUAGAUAUUAGAAAGAAUACCAAUUGCGAAGGCAGCUUUCUGGAUCAUUACUGACACUGAGGAACGAAAGCAUGGGUAGCGAAGAGGAUUAGAUACCCUCGUAGUCCAUGCCGUAAACGAUGUGUGUUAGACGUUGGAAAUUUAUUUUCAGUGUCGCAGCGAAAGCGAUAAACACAC